UAGUAAUAGUAGUGGUGAUAGUAGUAUUAGUAAUAGUAGUGUUGCGUGGUGGGAAGAGGAGGAGGAGAAUCGGAGAAGGAAAACCAGGAGACGGGACUGACUCUUCUCCCGUCAUUGUACGUCUGGCGGUCGUACUGCAGCUCAGAAUCGGGGGGAAAAGUGUUACGGCAACCAAUACUAACAACAACAACAACACCAUCACUACUACUACUACUACUAUUAUCAUCAUCACUAUCAACAACACUAACAAAACAGCAGCAUUGAUAAUAAUACCAUUAAGUGUACUACCACCGCCACCGCCACCACCUCCACCUCCACCACCACUCCAACUUGUACCAAUAAUCCAUCCGUCGCCUCCUCCGCCACGAGGGACCGUCGUCGUAUUGUUGCGGCCAGGCGUCUACGUUGCUCACUGCAACAUCUCCACCGGGUUUGCUGCUUCUACUGCUGCUACUCAUAGUAGUAGUGGCACUACUACAGCUGGGAACAUAACAUCAAUUAUGUAUAAUCAAGGAGCAAGGUAUGGGCACUUUGUGAACCAUGGGAGUCGUCAGGCCUUGAUGGGUUAUCACAACUCCCGCGGUCGUUUUGAUCAGCAGAUCCUUAGAAGGAUACCUCUUCAAGAAGCUCACAGACCACGUGUUCCUCCAGGUAGAAAUGCUCAUACAGCAAGUUAUGUACAGCGAACGCACUGGUUCCCUAACUACAGGCGUGGAAACCAACGUGGCAUGGUUACUGGGAACAUGGACCGCCGCAGCAACCCAAGAGGCCAUCGAAAUGCUACACAUCACCAUAAUCAACAGCAACACCGAAACACUGUUCAAAGACACGUAGAGGACAAUGCAGAUGUAUGCUUUAUUUGUGGAGAUUACCUGCAGAACUCAGCUGAAGUAGGCAUACAUUUGUGUGAUGGAGGACCCAAUCCAAGAGCACAGUUGCCAAGUCACCAAGUCAGAGUGCAUCAGCAGCCUAGAGCAAGAGCUGUGCGAAUGGGACAUAGCACUGACUCUCUACAGCAGGAGGUGGCCGUUGCAGGUGCAGUUUCUGAAGCAGUUGCUGCAGCUGUUGCUGCUCCGCCAUCUCCAUCUUUUCAUCGUGCUCAGCCUCCCACUUCUGAUAAUCAUGAAGUUGAGGAUGAUAGCGAUUCUGAAGAAAUGCAGUGUCAUUUUGAAUCUCUGCUUGAAGGCUGCCUAACUGACCUUCAAUCUCGCUAUCAGAAUGCCACUGAACGUUUACAAGAAGGUCUUUCAAGUAAAGCAGACGAAAUUCGCAAGAUCUACCGUAUUGUGCAGAAAGAUAAGAAAAAAACCAAGGAACUGAAGGCUGAAAUGAAUGACCGAGCUGUGGAACUUGAUGAAAGAGAAGCAGAAUUGAAGAAUCUUAAGGACAAAAUUGAGAAAAGUAAACGAGCUCUUGAUGCCGACAGUGAACAACAGACCAAGGAAGUAUCCCGUCUUUGGCAACAGCUUAAGGAUGAGUACAACCGGAUUGAAAAUGUCUACACAGUACAGAAGGGUCGGAUCAAACUAGAUGUUGGUGGACAUGAAUUUACCACAUCAGUGUUCACACUUACCCAGGUACAGGACUCCAUGCUUGCCGCUAUGUUUAGUGGACGUCACGAGAUAAAACACGAAGUUGACGGUAGUGUAUUCAUUGACCGGGAUGGAACACACUUUCGCUACAUUCUCAAUUACUUAAGGGACAGUGACUACAGCUUUGAAGCUUUGCCCCGCAGCAAACAAGUCUUGCGAGAACUGCGCAAUGAAGCCAUAUUCUACCAGCUACCUGGUCUGGUGCAGCAGAUUGAGAAGUUGUUGUGACAUCACCGUUGCCUCCUCAUUCGAACACCACGGCAGUAUUGUUGUGUCUUACGACCUUCAACAAAGAAGAGGCAUAGUGGCUGCAUCUGGUUUUCUCAUUAGCUCAAACUCUUGCUACAGUCAGUGUGUUGUGACCCUAGGCAAAGAACAAUUAAUUCUACAGACUUCAGUCCUCAAGGAUGAGGAGAAUAGCUACCAGAUCUUCUAGGGAUGUUUCCUGCAAUAAUUGGCAUUCUGUCCAGUUGGGGAUUUAACUCACAUCUGCUCUAUGGAAAUAAGUAAUGUGGCUUUGAAAUUUUUCUGUGGUUUGUGAGGAUAUAUAUUGUCACCAUUAUUAUUACUUUGAAGGGGGUGAUGAAGCUGCAGAAACAGAAGAAUACUGGAUUAAGUGCCUUACAGUAUUAUGUUUUUUCACUCUUCAGUCUGAAUUUAAAUUAUGUCAAGGUUGAUUGGGGUGAAUAAAAUAAGUGCCAGUUGUGUGCUGAGCUUGAUUCGAUCAAUUAUAUGUCUCUACUAUAAAUUCCUGACCUUGUACCAAUAUAAGAAAUUAUUGUUGAAGCAGCUGCAUUAUUCUGUCUACUGGAUUACAAAUGAAGUUCUACCACUAAAACUGUAACAUAUACGUGAGCAAGUCACCUAACUCUUCUGAUUUCAGACUACUUGCUAUGAAUGUUGUAUCUGGAAAAAACAGCUUGGAGGCAUGGCUGUAAUUGAACUGAUUGACCAAUUCAUUUGCCUGUUGUGUUAUGUUUGAUUGCUAUGUAGACUGAUGUCUUUGCUUUAUGUGCAGUCUCACCAACCCAUCAUUAAAAGAACUACCGUUAAAGGAUUUGUGACCAGUGUAAAUCUCACCAUGCCAUUGGACCACUAUGCAUUGUUAUUAAUCAAAUGGUUGCAUCCAGUCUAUUCAACAACAAAUUAAUCAUUUGUUGUUGUUGAUAUUGCAUUUAAUUUUGUGGUUUCACUUCAAUAAAAUUAGACUUAAUUAGUUUUCUAAUGUUGGAUUAAAUCAGCCCUCUUCAAAAAGGA